rnacentral:rRNA from 1 species
UACGGAGGGUGCAAGCGUUGUCCGGAAUCACUGGGCGUAAAGGGCGCGUAGGCGGCCCGGUAAGUAGGGGGUGAAAUCCUGCGGCUUAACCGGCAGGGCUGCCUUCUAAACUGUCGGGCUCGAGCACGGUAGAGGCAGAUGGAAUUCCCGGUGUAGCGGUGGAAUGGCGUAGAGAUCGGGAAGAACAUCAGUGGCGAAGGCGGUCUGCUGGGCCGUUGCUGACGCUGAGGUGCGAAAGCGUGGGGAGCAAACAGG